ACUUUUUUUUGUCUGACUAAAGACUGCUGCAGCUCAAUGGGGCUAUUUUAAUCAUUUCAUCAGGUUCACUGACACGUAUCCGUGAAGACCUUCACACUCUACCUCUAGUCUACUCACUUAGCCCAGUGCCUGACUGAAAACUACACCAAAAGCGAAACUUUUUUUUUCCCUUUUCCCUCUAUGUCUGAAGCGCGUCCGUGAUUGCGCGCUCACGAUUGGCAGCUCCACGUCGACAUUCUUCCAGCUGUGUGCGCGACGCGGAAAGACACGGCGGCGGUGAGGCGCCUGAACGAGCACUCGGUCCGGGCGAAAAAAUAAAUAAAUAAAUAAAUUAUCAACGAUUAACAACUUAUGCGGCGGAGAUUUAGUACUGGUUGCCAUAUUUAAAAAUGGUGCUUUCCCUUUUUGUUUUGCAUUUUAUGCAUUUAACCUCGUGCACAAAGUGCUGAGUUGCAGCUGUGAACUCCAGCAGUGGGCUUAUCCACAGCUCCAAAUAGACACGUCAGCUGUUUUACCUAUCCCCCACUAUGACUGUUCACUUCACAACCUUGAAACAAGGUAAGGCUGAGUCUUGAAUGUAAACCUGAACCAUUUUCAUGUCGUGUCACAGAUUUAUUUCCCAUUGCUGCUUAUUUCAUGCACAUUAAAAACGAUGCAUUUAUGCAAACCUGAACCCAUAUGUGUCCAGUGUGCAACUGUAUAUGUAGAUGUGUGUGUGUGUGUGUGGGCAGGGGGGUGAGAGGGGGAAUGAACCUAACAUUUAACUGUAGGCAUUUAAAUCAUCUUUUAAAUUCCCUUUACUAUCGUUAUAAGCCUCUUAUUAUCAUCAUGGGCUCUCUCAACCUCUGCUCAGCCAUAUUUUACUUUCAAGCGAUGUUAUUUUAUUGAUUAUUAAGAGCAUGGUAAGUACAUUCUGUUAAAGGUGCUCGUUUCAUUAUGAGAAUGGUGUAGAAUAAGCAUGUGAUCAUUACUAGGUAAGAAGAAAAAUGUUCCAUACCGUUUGAAUGAGUUAGAGAAUUGUAACAUGUGCUUUUACCCCUCUGAUUCUGACAGUGGGAAGACGAGAAGUCCUAUAGGAGGAGAGGAUUAAAGAGCUCUUCUGUGGCUUUCCAAGUAAAGUUCUGUGAUACACUCUGGCUCUAAUUGUUUGCAGUCAGUGCAUUACAGAACUUUGUUUUGGGAGUUUAAUGCUCUUGCCUGGAGGAAACAAAUAUUACAUCUGGAAGGGAGGAAUAACAACCACACAAGCCCCCUGAUGGUGCUUGGCUCUGUCUUUUCUUCAGUGAUCAUACACAAAUGAAGUUGUCUCACUUAGUUCUUAUUAUUUGUAACAUAUGCAUUGUAAUAUUGAGGUAAAAUAAAGUACAACCUUUUCUGGAACACA